rnacentral:rRNA from 1 species
GCGAACGCUGGCGGCAGGCCUAACACAUGCAAGUCGAACGAACUCUUCGGAGUUAGUGGCGGACGGGUGAGUAACACGUGGGAACGUGCCUUUUGGUUCGGAAUAACUCAGGGAAACUUGUGCUAAUACCGAAUGUGCCCUUCGGGGGAAAGAUUUAUCGCCAUUAGAGCGGCCCGCGUCUGAUUAGCUAGUUGGUGAGGUAACGGCUCACCAAGGCGACGAUCAGUAGCUGGUCUGAGAGGAUGACCAGCCACACUGGGACUGAGACACGGCCCAGGCUCCUACGGGAGGCAGCAGUGGGGAAUCUUGCGCAAUGGGCGAAAGCCUGACGCAGCCAUGCCGCGUGAAUGAUGAAGGUCUUAGGAUUGUAAAAUUCUUUCACCGGGGACGAUAAUGACGGUACCCGGAGAAGAAGCCCCGGCUAACUUCGUG